rnacentral:lncRNA from 1 species
GACAAGAGGGCCAGCCAGACGCCGUAAUUGGUAACUUGCGGGUUGAAAAACAGUCCGCCGUUGGCAUUGGGGCUCGCUGUCCGCACUUUCCAGGUUAUGACCACCUGUCUGUCGGCUGUUUCAGGGUCCACUGGCAGCAAUACGAUAAUGUAUUUGCUUACCCAUGCCAGUAUCAAAUCGGCUGUAUCCGUUUGCCCCGAUUGGAUGCUGCCGCUGAUGCAGAUGACGCCAGCAGAACUCCUCCUAUCGAUAGCACCCUCCAGUUCCGCGACAAGUGCGGAGGACACACGAGGGAAAAUACGGUCGGCGAGGAUUCCCGAGUCCCCAAAGACAGGUAGCUCGAAACUAAUGUUGCUUUGAAAAUGCUGCGACAAGUUCGCCAAAAGCGCGUUUGUGAAGUGCCCGCGCACACCUCCCCAGACAGGCGGCUGUAAGCACUUAGGGUUCCGAAAGUCGUGAUCCUUUAAACCUAGCUGGGUGCCUGUUCCAUGGACAUACAACGGCACCUUCGCAUUUCCCAGACCAUCACAUUGGUUGGUCCACGCACUGUAUCCAGCCUCCAAUAAAGAGCCACCGCCAAGUACCGCAAAGCCGUAAGUGGAAAAGUUCAGUUGCUGGGAUUGACCUGAAACGAAGGCUGGUUGGUACUCUAAACUCGCACGUUGGUACAUGCCCUGCUCCAGCAGAACGUCGCGUAGCAAGUGUCCGAAAAUGUCGAGCACCAGUUCAUCGCCAAGGUUUGCGUGCCCGAUCCAACCAACGUAGAGUCCUCGAAGACGUCCCAUGCCUGAAUAACCACAUAGUGAGUUGGGUACAGUCGCGAUAAUAAGUGUCGUCAACCGCAGAAGCAGAAACUUAGUGUUUUGCAUAGUGCGCACUGCUCAUGCGUCAACAGAGCUACAUAUGUACGCUCCCAUUUGUCAUAGCGUUAAUUUAUUGUGUGGUUUAAUGCGAGCUUGCGUUGUGGAAGCCGGCUUAGUUGCCGUACAGCAUCUGGGCAGUGCGUACUGGUGCUAGGCUUUGCACUUGGCCCUUGAGUGGCACUUGCAUGACACUGACAUUGACACUGAACUGCGGUCGCGCAUUUUGCCCUCAGGUCAGCGUACAUCAACAAUAUCAUAGGACAACUGAAAACCUGGAGAAUGAGGGAGGCCCCGGCCGUCUUCCGUGCAGCCAGCCUUGCCUUUAUAUAUGUUGUUUAUAUUAAUCUGUUUUGGGGCGAAGCGCCAUACGGGGGGCCGAGGCCCCUGGGUUCACUGCUGCAGUCAGUCAGUCAGUCAGUCAGUCAGUCAGUCAUGGUGUAACAUUUUAUUAUAUUUCGCCCCGAUUAAAAUUG